AUACGGAGGGGGCGAGCGUUAUUCGGAAUCAUUGGGCGUAAAGGGCGCGUAAGCGGCCUGACAAGUCAGGGGUGAAAUCCCUCGGCUCAACCGAGGAACUGCCUCUGAAACUGUCAGGCUUGAGGCCGGGAGAGGGUAGUGGAAUUCCCAGUGUAGCGGUGAAAUGCGUAGAUAUUGGGAGGAACACCAGUGGCGAAGGCGGCUACCUGGACCGGUUCUGACGCUGAGGCGCGAAAGUGUGGGGAGCAAACAGGAUUAGAAACCCUAGUAGUCC
rnacentral:rRNA from 1 species